rnacentral:rRNA from 1 species
AUUCCCUACGGGAGGCAGCAGUGGGGAAUAUUGCACAAUGGGGGAAACCCUGAUGCAGCAACGCCGCGUGAGUGAAGAAGUAUUUCGGUAUGUAAAGCUCUAUCAGCAGGGAAGAAAGUGACGGUACCUGACUAAGAAGCCCCGGCUAACUACGUGCCAGCAGCCGCGGUAAUACGUAGGGGGCAAGCGUUAUCCGGAUUUACUGGGUGUAAAGGGAUCGUAGACGGCAGCUCAAGUCUGGAGUGAAAUGCCGGGGCUCACACCCGGAACUGCUUUGGAAACU